GCAUGCCCAAUCUCAUCUGAUUUCCUCUGAUCUCAGAAGCUAAGCAGAAUCGGCCGUGUUAGUACUGGGAUGGGGAUCCACCUUGGAAUUUACAUGCCUACAUUCC
rnacentral:rRNA from 1 species